rnacentral:rRNA from 1 species
UUCCCAGACUCCUACGGGAGGCAGCAGUGAGGAAUAUUGGUCAAUGGGAGGAAUCCUGAACCAGCCAUGCCGCGUGCGGGACGACGGCUCUACGAGUUGUAAACUGCUUUUGUACCGGGGUAAAAUGCCUUACGAGUAGGGUUUUGAAAGUACGGUACGAAUAAGGAUCGGCUAACUCCGUGCCAGCAGCCGCGGUAAUACGGAGGAUGCGAGCGUUAUCCGGAUUUAUUGGGUUUAAAGGGUGCGCAGGCGGCACGGCAGGCCGGCGGUCAAAUCGCGGGGCUCAACCCCGCCCAGCCGUCGGAACUGCCGGGCUAGAGUGGGCGAGAAGUGCGCGGAAUGCGUGGUGUAGCGGUGAAAUGCAUAGAUAUCACGCAGAACUCCGAUUGCGAAGGCAGCGCACCGGCGCCCUACUGACGCUCAGGCACGAAAGCGUGGGUAUCGAACAGGAUUAGAUACCCGAGUA